GUUGAAGAAAGAUAAGAAAUAGUGAGCAAGCGUCGAGCAGGUAUACGAGCGGUUUUUUGAAGUUUUCAAUCAGUUUUUUGAAGAGUCUGAACCAGUUUUUUGAAGUUUUCAACCAGUUUUUUGAAGAGUCUGAAGGGCAACUCUAUGGACCAGGAAUCGCUGAUUAGCAUAUUAAUGCGAUGGAAAUUGCGACCUGCACCUUUCCCGCCGCACGACAAAUGCAUAAUCGAGACGCCUCGGUGAAAUGCUUGUACCAGGCAUAAUAUGACAUGUAUCCUAAUGAAAAAAUUCGAGAAGACUGUUGAAAUACAUAACAAUAAACUCU